AUGUCCUCACAAAGUAAAUGCAAAAACUGCAUUACAUGGUGUGGUCUAUCAUUCAAACCUGCAUCUCAACUCUCGCAAGAAUGUUGAAGGUCGUCACGAGGUCGUCGGCCAGAAAGACCUUGGACCACUGGCAUCAAGAGAUUGAGAACUCCUGAAGAGAAUCA